GGUUUAAUUCGAUGAUACGCGAGGAACCUUACCCGGGCUUAAAUUGCAGUGGAAUGAUGUGGAAACAUGUCAGUGAGCAAUCACCACUGUGAAGGUGCUGCAUGGUUGUCGUCAGCUCGUGCCGUGAGGUGUCGGCUUAAGUGCCAUAACGAGCGCAACCCUUAUCUUUAGUUACUAACAGGUUAUGCUGAGGACUCUAGAGAGACUGCCGUCGUAAGAUGUGAGGAAGGUGGGGAUGACGUCAAAUCAGCACGGCCCUUACGUCCGGGGCUACACACGUGUUACAAUGGGGGGUACAGAAGGCAGCUAGCGGGUGACCGUAUGCUAAUCCCAAAAGCCUCUCUCAGUUCGGAUCGAAGUCUGCAACCCGACUUCGUGAAGCUGGAUUCGCUAGUAAUCGCGCAUCAGCCACGGCGCGGUGAAUACGUUCCCGGGCCUUGUACACACCGCCCGUCAAGCCAUGGGAGCCGGGGGUACCUGAAGUACGUAACCGCAAGGAUCGUCCUAGGGUAAAACUGGUGACUGGGGCUAAGUCGUAACAAGGUAGCCGUACCGGAAGGUGCGGCUGGAACACCUCCUUU
rnacentral:rRNA from 1 species